GUACAAUCCUUGUGUCUUUAUCUAGAUAAAGCACCUGUGUACAUUAUUAACAAGUACCACUUACGUCUUAUAUUCUGAAACUUUUUCCUGGAAGAGUGAAUAGGAAAGAAACAGCAGACCCUGACAUAGUACUUAGUAUGUGUGAAGCUCCUUAUGUAUAUCAAUUUACUUUAGACUUUAUCUAAUCUCUUGGUACAGUAAGGUUGGUACAGUAAGGUUUUGAAUCCUCACAACAGUCAGUAUUGAUGUUAUCAUCUGAUGUUAUCAGAUGAGGGACUGAGGAUCAGAGAGCUUAAGCAACUUGCCAAAGGUCACAGAGCUCAGAAUUAGCAGAGGCAAGAAUCAAUCCCAGGCAGGCAUUAUGGCUCCUGAGUCUGUGCUGUCACUGGAGGUACGUAAAACUGUCCCCCGGCCCUCAGAGACACAUAGCCAGAGCCCCCAGUCAGCUGUGGGGAACAGUAAUCUGCUUUGGGGGCUACUGGUUCGUUUACUCAUUGUCUCUCUCAGCUCCCCUCCUCCCACCUUUGUAGAAAUUAAGUUUUCUUAAAUGGUGAUUUUCAUGGAAAGCAUCUUUUUUUCCUCCCUAAACAAGUCUCCAGCUACUCAUAAGUAGAAAACACUGGACUGGGAAUCGGUUUUUGUUUGGUCUUUUCAUCUGCUGAAUUCUAACCCUGCCUCUUCCUCUUUCUAGCUUUGUGACCUUAGUCCUGUCUGUUCACAUGCCUGAGCCUCAGUUUCUUCAUCUGUAAGGUUAAAGGAGUUGGUGUAGGUGACACCAAGAUUUGUUCAGACCUCAAAUUAUAUUACCCUAAAGAUAAUGAUAACAGGUCUGAGAUAAUGGUUUAUGGCUAUAAAGAGAAAACACUUUUGCAGCAACCUAAAUUAGAAUUUUCCUCUCAGAAGUCAAUUAGGCACGUCACUCAAAGCACUUCUCCAACUGUGAAUGAAAUGAUGAAAAAUGAGUGGAGAAGAAAUUCUGCUUUCCCCCACAGCUCAGCAGAGAGCAAACUUUUGACUUAUGCCUCUGGAUGUGGGCAGUGGCUCUGAAUGCCAUUUCUACCGUUAUAAUAUGCUGGUCCACAAGCCCACCAGCACAAUGGCCAGUCACCUUUGGAGAAGAAACUUUUGCAGAAAAAUAAUUACACAUUCCCUCACCUUUGAAGCUAUUCCAAUUUCACAGGGGUUUCUGUUUUCCUCCCAUUAAACCCAGCUGGUCAUUUCAGUUGAUCAAGUGAACAGGCAUCAUUAUCUUCAAUUCUAAUUUAUAUGAGGCAUCCACUGAAAUUGACCUCUGCGGACAAUUAUAGAUUCACAUAGGAAAUUAAGACUGGUGAGUCUCUCAAACUUAUUAGAGGCUGAUGAGCAUGGCCUGAUCUAAAGGUAAGCAAUCAUAUAUUUGGGAGGACAAUUGUAGCGUAUUGUCAGCGACUGUCAGCCCCUUCAUCAGAAAUGUCUGCCCCUUACCUGGCUCUUGAAAUCAAAUGUACCGCAGAUGACUUCAAUAGGGAAACACUAGUAAAUAUGGAUUGCCAUGAAAACAGAAGAAGAGAUCAUUUCUGAGGUGACCGUGAUUUACUGCAAGCAGAUUUGUGUACUUCGGGACACAGGGAGCAGAUGCUUUAUACAAUCAGAAGAUGAGUCGCUGUGUUCUGUAUUUAAAGCUUGUAAGUUAAUGAAAGCAACUCUUACCCCACCCUUACCCCUUCCUCUGUAAAAAUUGUUGCAGUGGUUCAAGAAAGCAGAAUUUAAGCCUGAAAGAUAUUUUUAAACAAACAACCCAUCAUAUCACUUAGGAGCUUGAGAAGACUUUAGAGAAUAUCUAGUUCUAUGUUUUCAUGAGAG
rnacentral:lncRNA from 1 species